rnacentral:snRNA from 1 species
CACAAUUAUGAGCAUUUUGCCUAAGAUCAAGUGUAGUGUCUGUUCUUAUCAGUCUAAUUACUGAUAUGUACCACAUUGCGGUACCUUAUUUCAUGCCCUUUUCUUAAAAAAAAUCCAGUUUCAUUCCCUUCACCUUUUACGGAUAUCAGAAACAACAUCCU